rnacentral:lncRNA from 1 species
CUCCUUCUUUCUUAUUCUGCAUGUAGCAUAAUGUCUUUAAAAGCUGUUGCAAAAAUAACUGCUCGAUAUGUCACUCCAGGACACUAAUUGUUUAGUGGGACACACAUUUCCUGAAUUCAUUGCAGGGUUAUAGGUCAGUUGAUUUAUUAUUAUUUGUGCAAAAGCAAAUGGCUUUUGAAGUGAAGCUGCUUCCUGGCAACAGAGGACGAUCCCAGCCCUCCGAGUGUGCGUCUGCAGCUUACGCCUGGACGCAUCCCGGGACAGGGCUGUGGCCUUUCACAGGGCCUGACUGGUCUGGCUCUCUCACAUUGCACACUUCGCAAAGACCUGAACAACUGAGGCAGUCUGUUUCUGGAUGCUGGCAGUCAUUCAGAAACAUUUGCUGAGCACCUCGUGCCUGCUGAGUGGACCCACGUGAAGGAGAGCCAGGAGUGCAGAUCAUUAAAAAGCCUGUACUUUCUUACUCCGCAUUUGACCCCACAGAGAGAAAGUGCAUGCUCCUGAUUUGGGUAGAUCUAGAAUCUUCUUAUGAAUACGGUGAGUUGAGCAAGGGAUCCAAGUUCUUAUGAUACAUGAUAAGAAAGACCAUAGCUUGAUCAGACACAAAUAAAAGCCGAGCUUUUCUAAACUCCCUAGCACCAUCACCCCCUUAUCAACCAGUACACAGAGCUUAACAUCGCUAUACCAGAUAGUGAAUGUUUCUAAUAGGAAUGGCAAAUUCUUAUUGUGAAAGAGAUAAGGGUAUUCAUGUGUUAAUUCAAGAGAAAUACAUAUAUGGUUCUUUAAAUGAUUUACUUACUAAUAGCAUUAAGUAUGGUGUAAAGGAAUUUACAUACCCUAAUUCUCGUCUAUAUACUUUUUUUGGAUUUUUAAAGUGGCAACUUGUCUAAGUUGGCAUUAGUAUUAAGCCCUAACAUGAGACAGUAUUUAUAGCAUAAGAUUUUUGCCAUCUAUUUUUAAUUGUAGUGCUGUUUUAUCAAUAAGUCAUUUCAAUAGUUGAACAUUUGAAAAGAAGAAACAUGAAAACGAAUUUCUAAUUGUACAGUAUUGAAUACAUGAAAGUUCCUUUAAACUUACUCCAGAGUCUCAAUAAACAUGGUAAGUAUGUAGUAAUUCACAUUUACAACCACCAUAAAAAC